AGCGAACGCUGGCGGCAGGCCUAACACAUGCAAGUCGAACGAAGUCUUCGGACUUAGUGGCGGACGGGUGAGUAACACGUGGGAACGUGCCUUUAGGUUCGGAAUAACUCAGGGAAACUUGUGCUAAUACCGAAUGUGCCCUUCGGGGGAAAGAUUUAUCGCCUUUAGAGCGGCCCGCGUCUGAUUAGCUAGUUGGUGAGGUAAAGGCUCACCAAGGCGACGAUCAGUAGCUGGUCUGAGAGGAUGAUCAGCCACAUUGGGACUGAGACACGGCCCAAACUCCUACGGGAGGCAGCAGUGGGGAAUCUUGCGCAAUGGGCGAAAGCCUGACGCAGCCAUGCCGCGUGAAUGAUGAAGGUCUUAGGAUUGUAAAAUUCUUUCACCGGGGACGAUAAUGACGGUACCCGGAGAAGAAGCCCCGGCUAACUUCGUGCCAGCAGCAGCCGCGG
rnacentral:rRNA from 1 species